AUUGAACGCUGGCGGCAGGCCUAACACAUGCAAGUCGAGCGGAUGAAGGGAGCUUGCUCCUGGAUUCAGCGGCGGACGGGUGAGUAAUGCCUAGGAAUCUGCCUGGUAGUGGGGGAUAACGUCCGGAAACGUGCGCUAAUAGCGCAUACGUCAUGAGGGAGGAAGUGGGGGAUCUUCGUACCUCGCGCUAUCAGAUGAGCCUAGGUCGGAUUAGCUAGUGGGUGGGGUAACGGCCUACCAAGGCGACGAUCCGUAACUGGUCUGAGAGGAUGACCAGUCACCCUGGAACUGAGACACGGCCCAGACUCCUACGGGAGGCAGCAGUGGGGAAUAUUGGACCAUGGGCGAAAGCCUGAUCCAGCCAUGCCGCGUGUGUGAAGAAGGUCUUCGGAUUGUAAAGCACUUUAAGUUGGGAGGAAGGGCAGUAAGUUAAUACCUUGCUGUUUUGACGUUACCAACAGAAUAAGCACCGGCUAACUUCGUG
rnacentral:rRNA from 1 species